ensembl:lncRNA
UUUAUAAUCCUUUUUUAUACUAAUUUGUCUUAUUUUAUUUAUUCACCUCUUUUCUUUUUCUAUGUAAAAACUGAUUCAGCCUGUCUAAAAGAUUUUAAUGGAAAUAACGCAAAGCAAAAAUCAAGGAGGCAAUUCCAGCUCAGCUGUGUCAGGAAUAAGGCUGCAUGGAAUGAUGCCUGUUUGGAUUGGAAAGCUUUUACUCAUCACUUCCUGUCAUCCUGAUUGCAUGUACCCUCAUGAAAUGUUUCUUGGGGUGGAAUUUUCAUAUAUAAGAGGAAGACACAUGUCAAGAUUUUCAUCAAGUUUUAACAAACAGAUUGACAUGGGGACACACAUUAUGCAAAUAAGCCACCAUGUAGUAAUUCCCUAAGUUGGCAGUGUCAUACUUAAGAUGAUUAUAUCAAAAUCAUUCUGUCUAUUUGAAUUGCAUUUUAAUUUGGGGGUACAAAGCUCAUUCCGUCCUUUGCCACUGUAAAAUAAGAGCAUGAAUAUGCAUGAAGAACAGUUUAAUACAGUAAUAUCUUCUGAUAGCUCUCUAAUGUGUGCCAGUGGAAGUGCUGAAAAAUGAUAUUGAUGAGAUGUGCUGAAACAGCCAUCCCACCCCCAGCACAUAGAGGUCAGAAGACUGUCUCCAGUAAUAUUUCAUGGUAACAUAUAACACAAAACAUAGCCCCCAGUUGAAAUAUGAAGCAGUCCAUGUUUUUAAAAAAUAAAACGAAUAAAAAUAAUUGAAAAAAAACCCUUCAGGAGACAGAAUACAAUGGACAUAUCCAAAUGUUUAAAACUUCUUGGCACAGACGCACGCAUCUAUGCCCAUGCAAAUACACGCCCUGCUGCUGGCUGCUCUGAGCCACCCCCUAACUAAAACCACUUGUUUACUCAGUGAUCCCAUGCUGGCUUCCAGACCACAGUGACCUGGGAACAGGGCAACUUUCAGCAGCCUAGCCUGCCCCGUAGCCACUGUCCCUGGCUAAAGAUCAAGGCUGUCUGGGUUUGCUGAAAACACAGCCACUGAGAACCCAGACUAUGUAGGAAGGAGAGAGCAAAACAGGCAGUUGUGUUGACAGGGAAAUUAAAAUACACAAAAACAUGUCUAUAACUGUGCUCCUGCUUCGUGAAAAUCGAUUGUUUCUAAUGAAUAAUACACUGUUAUUUAGUAGUGCUCCAAA